GGGUGGGGGGCGCACCCCCCUCCCCACGUCACCCACCCGGACGGGGCACUUGGCCACGAAGCUGCCUGGUGCUGGACUCGCCCCGCAUCCCAGCCUGGCUUUCAUUUAUUUUUUUUAAGUUAUUAACGAAAUCUGAAUGUCGGGAGCUUGCUUCCGACCAGAGGGUGAACUUGACCGCGUCCGGCCCUCACACGACCACCCCGCCGCCCCAGCCAGGGCCCCCGCUGCUCCAUGUGAACGGCUAGUGAACGGGGUUCGAAGAGCCCGCGUGCCAGCCCUGCGUGUGCCUCUACCAGCCCCUUCCCCGGCUCCUUCGGGCCCGUUGUGAGCGUGGGUCUUGCCACCAUCACUUUGGAAACCACCUCAGACUGAGUGUGUGUAUGCCACCGGGUGAAGGCGGCCUGAAACCCCCGAGCGACCCAGACGCCUCGCCCGCGGCUGCUCCUGUGACCUGUGGCCUCUGGACACCGGGGAGAGCCGUUCCGUGUCCGCCGGGAGCCCGCGCUCCUGUGCGGAAGGUCAGGCAACAGAGUAUCGCCCCGGGCGCUUCUUUGUGUCGCUUCCCCGACUCCAAGGACGCGCGCGACCCCUGUUGGUGGAGGGGCGCCAUCGCAGCCCGGCCCGCCAACCCGCGUCCCGCGGGGUCCUCCCCCCCGCCGCGGGGACUGUCCCCCAGCGCCCACCGCUCCCACCGCAGCCCCCCUCAGCCCCCACCCCCGCAGCUCCAGGCCACAGUCACACCCAGUUCCCCCUCCCGACCUGCUCUUCCUCCCCUGUCCCUGCGUGGCCAGCGCUCACCAGCCACGAAGACAACCCCAGGCCCUGGCCUGGCCUCCCGCAGACAGCGGUCCACUCAACCCACAGAAUGGGGUCUACGCCCUGCGGACCGGACCGGCGCUAACCCCUCCCGCCGCGCCGCCUGCUCCUCCAGGCCUUCCUCCAACGCGGAUGUUGACCCCGCAGGACCGACUCGCGGGUCCCCUGGGGCCCAGUCUCUCUCCCUGGCACAUUCACUGCUCUGUAGUUUGGGGUCCCUAUGCUAAGACUGCAGGGUCCCCCGCGCUGGUCAGCCCCGGGUUUGCACAUCGGGUGCUGCGGUCCGGACCAGUAGCACGCUGGGGAGCCACAGCGCCCCCCUGUGGUCAUCGUGCCCACAACGCUCAAUCCGAGGCCCUUAGUUUCUUUUUAAACAUGUUUUGGAUUUUAUAUUGAUUUUAGAGAGGAAGGGCGAGAAGCACCAUCAAUCAAUCGGCUGCGUUCUGCACGCCCCCCAACUGGGAUUGGGCCUGCAAGCCGGGUAUGCGCCCUGUCUGGGAAUUGAACCAUGACCUCCUGCUUCAUAGGUCAACGCCCAACCACUGUGACACACGGGGCAGCAGGAUGGACUUUUUGAUAAAGGGUGCUGGGACAAUGGACACCCACGUGGGGAAAAUGCAUCAAAGCCCAAUUCCAGGUGGAUGGCAGACUACGUUUAAAAGCAAAACUGCUUUAGUGUGGCUCAGCAAGGUUGCUGGUUCGAUUCCUGGUUAGGGCACAUGCCUGGGUUGCAGGUUAAAUGCCUGGUUGGGGGUGUGCAA